rnacentral:lncRNA from 10 species
CCGGCACUUGGCACCCCUUACGCCUUACGGUGGCCGCUGCGCCCAGUCACAUCUAUUGCAUUUCUCUGGAAUGACCACAGCAAUAUUUCCAGCCCUUGAUGAUCUUCUAGAACUUUGCCACUUCCCUGCAUCAAGAGAGCCAUGGAGAAGAGGAGACAGAGUGUGCAAGGGAAUGAAGAAAAGGAACAAGACUAUUUUCAAAUCACCCAUGGCACUACUAGAAAUGUAUUUCAGCAAAAGGACUGGCUGAUUUUAUGAUUCCUGUGUCCACCACAGCCCUCUAAUUUUUACAUAGGUACCCCACAUCUCUCUAGAUUUCAGGAAGACUAUUAUCCUUCGACUUUAGCUUUCUGAUGGGUUCACAAAAAGCCAUUAGUGUGCUGUUGGUCCAGCUUUUUUCUGUUGCAAAUAUGAGAGCUACAGUUCUGAGAUGAAACCACAGAAAUUGUUGCAAUGUGUUUAAAAAUGAGAUAGACGCCGGACACGGUUGCUCGGGCAGAUCACGACGUCAAGAGAUCAAGACCAUCCUGGCCAACAUGGUGAAACCCCGUCUCUACUAAAAACACAAAAAUUAGCUGGGAGUGGUGGCGCACGCCUGUAGUCCCAGCUACUCAGAAGGCUGAGGCAGGAGAAUCACUUGAACCUGGGAGGCGGAGGUUGCAGUGAGCCGAGAUUGCGCCACUGCACUCCAACCUGGCAACAGGGU